CACGUAGGGCGCAAGCGUUGUCCGGAAUUAUUGGGCGUAAAGAGCUCGUAGGCGGUCCGUCACGUCCGCUGUGAAAACCCAGGGCUCAACCCUGGGCUUGCAGUGGAUACGGGCAGACUAGAGGUAGGUAGGGGAGAAUGGAAUUCCCGGUGUAGCGGUGAAAUGCGCAGAUAUCGGGAGGAACACCGGUGGCGAAGGCGGUUCUCUGGGCCGGUACUGACGCUGAGACGCGAAAGCGUGGGGAGCGAACAGG
rnacentral:rRNA from 1 species